rnacentral:rRNA from 1 species
AACCUCCGCAAUGUGAGAAAUCGCGACGGGGGGAUCCCAAGUGCCAUUCUUAACGGGAUGGCUUUUCAUUAGUGUAAAGAGCUUUUGGAAUAAGAGCUGGGCAAGACCGGUGCCAGCCGCCGCGGUAACACCGGCAGCUCUAGUGGUAACAAUUUUUAUUGGGCCUAAAGCGUCCGUAGCCGGUUUAAUAAGUCUCUGGUGAAAUCCUGUAGCUUAACUGUGGGAAUUGCUGGAGAUACUAUUAGACUUGAGACCGGGAGAGGUUAGAGGUACUCCCAGGGUAGAGGUGAAAUUCUGUAAUCCUGGGAGGACCGCCUGUUGCGAAGGCGUCUAACUGGAACGGUUCCGACGGUGAGGGACGAAAGUUAGGGGCGCGAACCGGAUUAGAUACCCGGGUAGUCCUAACUGUAAACGAUGCGGACUUGGUGUUGGGGUGGCUUUGAGCUGCUCCAGUGCCGAAGGGAAGCUGUUAAGUCCGCCGCCUGGGAAGUACGGUCGCAAGACUGAAACUUAAAGGAAUU